ensembl:lncRNA
CAUAAAACCAUUCAACUUCAGCUUCUUCAGCAUUACUGGUUGGGGCAUAGACUUGGAUAACUGUGAUAUUGAAUGGUUUGCCUUGGAGACAAACAGAGAUUAUUCUGUCGUUUUUGAGAUUGCAUCCAAGUACUGCAUUUCAGACUCUUUCGUUGACCAUGAUGGCUACUCCAUUUCUUCCAAGGGAUUCCUGCCUGCAGUAGUAGAUAUAAUGGUCAUCUGAGUUAAAUUCACCCAUUCCAGUCAAUUUUAGUUCACUGACUCCUAGAAUGUCGACGCUCACCCUUGCCAUCUCUUGUUUGACCACUUCCAAUUUGCCUUGAUUCAUGGACCUGACAUUCCAGGUUCCUAUGCAAUAUUGCUCUUUACAGCAUCAGAUCUUACUUCUGUCACCAGUCACAUCCACAACUGGGUACUGUUUUUGUUUUGGCUCCAUCCCUACAUUCUUUCUGGAGUUACUUCUCCACUGAUCUCCAGUAGCAUAUUGGGCACCUAAUGACCUGGGGAGUUCCUCUUUUGGUAUCCUAUCAUUUUGCCUUUUCAUACUGUUCAUGGGGUUCUCAAGGCAAGAAUACUGAAGUGGCUUGCCAUUCCCUUCUCCAGUGGACCACAUUCUGUCAGACCUCUCCACCAUGACCCGGCCAUCUUGGGUUGCCCCACAGGCAUGGCUUGGUUUCUGUGAGUUAGACAAGGCUGUGGUCCUAGUGUGAUUAGAUUGACUAGUUUUCUGUGAGUAUGGUUUCAGUGUUUCUGCCCUCUGUUGCCCCUUACAACACAUACCAUCUUACUUCGGUUUCUCUUACCUUGGGUGUUGGUUAUCUCUUCACGGUUGGUCCAGCAAAGCACAGCCGCUCCUCCUUACCUUGGACGAAGGGUAUCUCCUUACAGGCUCCGUUCCUGACCUUCAACAUGGGAUAGUUCCUCUAGGCCCUCUUGUGCCUACUCAGAAAAGAUAAUAAUAUCAGUAACAAAAAGGAUAAGAAAGAUUAUUUAAGUGUGUAUUUUUGUUUUCUUUUCUGAGUUUUGUGCAUUUGAACUCUUUGAGUCCUUAAAAAAACACUGUAGAGUAACCACGAUAUUAAUGCUUAUUUGAAUAAAAAGGACUAUGAGACAAAAGGCAGUGUAGUUACUUGUAUAAGUCAUG